rnacentral:rRNA from 1 species
AGCCGAGGGGCAUCAGUUUGGUUUGCUUGCAACCAAAGCUGGCGACCGGCGCACGGGUGAGUAACACGUAUCCAACCUGCCUCAUACUCGGGGAUAGCCUUUCGAAAGAAGGAUUAAUAUCCGAUAGCAUAUAUUUCCCGCAUGGGUUUUAUAUUAAAGAAAUUCGGUAUGAGAUGGGGAUGCGUUCCAUUAGUUUGUUGGCGGGGUAACGGCCCACCAAGGCUACGAUGGAUAGGGGUUCUGAGAGGAAGGUCCCCCACAUUGGAACUGAGACACGGUCCAAACUCCUACGGGAGGCAGCAGUGAGGAAUAUUGGUCAAUGGACGCGAGUCUGAACCAGCCAAGUAGCGUGAAGGAUGACUGCCCUAUGGGUUGUAAACUUCUUUUAUAUGGGAAUAAAGUGGUCCACGUGUGGAUUUUUGUAUGUACCAUAUGAAUAAGGAUCGGCUAACUCCGUGCCAGCAGCCGCGGUAAUACGGAGGAUCCGAGCGUUAUCCGGAUUUAUUGGGUUUAAAGGGAGCGUAGGCGGAUUGUUAAGUCAGUUGUGAAAGUUUGCGGCUCAACCGUAAAAUUGCAGUUGAUACUGGCAGUCUUGAGUGCAGUAGAGGUGGGCGGAAUUCGCGGUGUAGCGGUGAAAUGCUUAGAUAUCACGAAGAACUCCGAUUGCGAAGGCAGCUCACUGGAGUGUAACUGACGCUGAUGCUCGAAAGUGUGUGUAUCAAACAGGAUUAGAUACCCUGGUAGUCCACACAGUAAACGAUGAAUACUCGCUGUUUGCGAUAUACAGUAAGCGGCCAAGCGAAAGCAUUAAGUAUUCCACCUGGGGAGUACG